rnacentral:rRNA from 1 species
CCUACGGGUGGCAGCAGUGGGGGAUAUUGCACAAUGGGGGGAACCCUGAUGCAGCGACGCCGCGUGGGUGAAGGAGCGUUUCGGCGCGUAAAGCCCUAUCGGCAGGGAAGAAAAUUACGGUACCUGACCAAGACGCCCCGGCUAACUACGUGCCAGCAGCCGCGGGAAUACGUAGGGGGCCAGCGUUAUCCGGAUUUACUGGGGGUAAAGGGGGCGCAGACGGCAAUGCAAGCCCGGAGUGAAAGCCCGGGGCCCAACCCCGGGACUGCUGUUGGAACGGCCUGGCUGGAGUACAGGAGGGGCAGGCGGAAUGCGUAGUGUAGCGGUGAAAUGCGUAGAUAUUAGGAGGAACACCGGUGGCGAAGGCGGCCUGCUGGACUGGGACUGACGUUGAGGCACGAAGGCGUGGGGAGCAAACAGGAUUAGAUACCCGGGUAGUC